AUCAAGGAUCACACAGGAGGUUUUUGAUAAAAAAAAAAGAAAAAAAUAUUAUCAAAAACCUCUUGUGUGAUCCUUGAU